GUGUCCACGGAUGGCACGAAAGCCAAGCGAGUCCCCCUGCCGAGCUACUCGCGUCCGCCUCCUCCCAAGCUGAGCUCUGCUCCGCCCGCCUGAGUCCUUCGCCAGUUAGGAGGAAACACAGCCGCUUAAUGAACGGCUGCAUCGGGCUGGGAGAGAAAGCUCGCGGGUCCCACCGGGCCUCCUACCCAAGUCUCAGCGCGCUUUUCACCGAGGCCUCAAUUCUGGGAUUUGGCAGCUUUGCUGUGAAAGCCCAAUGGACAGAGGACUGCAGAAAAUCAACCUAUCCUCCUUCAGGACCGACGUACAGAGGUCCAGUUCCAUGGUACACCAUAAAUCUUGACUUACCACCCUACAAAAGAUGGCAUGAAUUGAUGCUUGACAAGGCACCGAUGCUAAAGGUUAUAGUGAAUUCUCUGAAGAAUAUGAUAAAUACAUUCGUGCCAAGUGGAAAAAUUGUGCAGGUGGUGGAUGAAAAAUUGCCUGGCCUACUUGGCAACUUUCCUGGCCCUUUUGAAGAGGAAAUGAAGGGUAUUGCCGCUGUUACUGAUAUACCUUUAGGUAAAGUUCACUUAGAAGCUUUAAAAAAAAAAAUAAUUAAAUUCUUUUACAAGUUUCCAUUGAGGUGUGAUAUACAUACAGCAAAGUGCACAGGUCUUAGAUAUACAGCUCAGUGAAGCUUCAGAAAUGCAUGCAUGCAUGUAGCCAUGACUCAGAUCAAGAUACGGAAGAGCCCAGCACUCCACGAUGCUCCAUCAUGCCCCUUUGCAGAAAAUACUGCCUCCUCCAGUAAACACUAUUCUGAUGUCACUAUAGAUUAGUUUUGCCUCUUCGUGAACUUUGUAUAAAUAGAACUGAACAAUAUGAACUGUCCUGUGUGAUUUCUUGUAUUUCAUUAUGGGUGGUGUGCUAUUGUAUCAGCAGGGUAUUUGGGUAGUUUUCAGAUUUGUGAUAUUAACAAUAAAGGAAUUAUAAAUAUUGUAGUACAUUUUGGGGGGGUUCUAGGUACUCAUUUUCUGGAUAUAUACCUAGGAAGUGAACUGUUGUGUUAUAGAGUAAUUGUGUGUUUAGCCUUAUAGAUUCUGCCAAACAGUUUUCCAAAGUGAUUCCAGCAGUUGACAAUCAGCAGAGUAUGAGAGUUUCAGUUUUCUCCUAUGAUAAUUCUCCUCUCGAUAGUGUCAGUCUUUUCUUUUUCCUUUUUUUUUUUGUUAGUGUCAAUCUUUAUUUGAGCCUUUUUGUUGAGUGUCACAGUAUCGCAUUUUAGUUUCAAUUUGCAUUUCCUUGAUGACUAAUGAGAUUGAACAGUUUAUUGACUUUUUUUUUUUGGUUUCUUUGUUUCUUUUGGAGAAGGGCUUGUGAAGGUCUUUUGCCCUUUUAAAAAUUAGACUGAAGGAAUUUUUUACAUACUUUGAAUAUAAGCCCUUUGUCAGAUAUAUGGAUUCUGAAUAUCUGCUCCCAGUCUAUGACUUUCAUUUUUAUUCUCUUACUUUUGUCUUUUGAUGAACAGAAAUUUUUAAUUUUAGUGAAGUCUAAUAUCUCAGUCUUCUCUUUUAUGAGUAGUGCCUUUUGUAUCCAUUUAAGGAAUCUUGGCCUACCCCAAAGUCAUAUAUAUAUGCUUAUAUAUUUUCUUCUAGAUGUUUAAUGUUUACUUUUUACAUUUAGGCCUAUCAUCUAUUUUGAAUUAUUUUUGUAUAUGCUAUGACUUAUGGGUCAAGCUUCAGGUUUUUCUCAUAUGGUAUAUCCAGUUAGUUAAACACUAUCAAUUCAAAAGGCUAUCCUUUCCUCAGCAAAUUGCAGUGAUGUGUUUGAUAUAAAUAUACAAUACAUAUGUAUAUACACACACACACACACAAUGUGUAUCUGUAUAUACAAUCAGGUGAUUGUAUAUAUGUUGUUUUGUUUGGGGAAUUAAGUUUCAUUUACAUAUUUGUCUUUUUGUCUUCCCUUAUAUCAAUACUAUUUCACCUCAGUUACUAAAGCUUUAUAGUAAGUCUUCAAAUUAGGUGGUAUAAUUCUUCCAACUUUGUUUUUCUCAAUAUUUAUUUAAGUUACUGAUUUCUCUGAGCAGUAUCUUUUAUUUUCAGGGAGAAGACCUUGCAUGUCAUUCGUUAAAAUUAUUCUUAGAUAUUGAUGGUUUGGGAAGCUAUUUUUAAAAUUUCAAUUUAAGCUUUAUGGCAUGUAACGAAAAAGAUUUUCCCCAUGACCCCAAAAGUUUUAUCUUUAAGCUAGCAAAGCAGUAGUGUCAUUAUUUUAAAUAGCCAACAGUACCUUCAUUUGAUAAGAGAGAUGAUUGAGAAUUUGUGAAAAUCAGUAGUAUUUAUCAACAAAAGUGGCUAGUUUUGUGUGCUGCUUCUUUAAAAAAAUCAUUUAAAAGAUAGCAUACUGGAAAUAUGUACUUGCUGCCUUUAUGGAGAGCAAGUCUAAUUCCUUUAUUAUGUAAAGAACUCUAGCAACUCAAUACCAAAUAGCUUACCAAAAAUACCUUAUGGAUUAAGAAUAACAUCAUAUAUAAGUGGUGUAAAUUUAUAUAAUUAUUAUAAAUUAUUAUAAAUGUAUAAUAAAAUAACUAGAAUUUCACCAAAUUAGAAAUUUAAUGGAAAUAAAAUAAACAUUGGAUUUGGGUGAAAAAAACAUGUUGAGCUUAACAUGUUAAUGUUAAAUGGGACAGAAAUACAAUGUGCUGCCUACUUUUGAAUUAAAUGCUAAAUAGCAGUAUUAUACAUUUUGGGAAAAUAUUCAAAAAAUAAAAUACCCUAGAAUGGAGUUUCUUGGCAGCUCUGUACUAAUUUUAAUAGUUCUUGAAUCUCCUUUUUCACCUUAGAAAUUUUAGUCACACUUUAAAAAUCUGGGCAAAAUAUAUGUCCAGCAAACAGCCAAGAGCCAGAUGUAUUAAAUGAUCAUAUUUACGCUCCCAAAAGAAAAUUCAAAAUGAAGCAUGUUGAUAAUAAACAUUUUGGACGUGAUGUUGGAGAACAAUUGCAACCUGCCCAGAUGUUCAGCUCGCCCAAAGGCUGCCUCCUUGGUGACUUGUUUCAUCUUGAGUCUAGAGAGACCAGGCUGGGGAAGAAAACCACCUCCAGCCAGCCGUUCCAGCACAGCCCCACUGGCCAAAGCACACACUCACACAAUGAAAACACUGAAACUUUUUCUUAAAACAAAUUUUUCUCCCAUUGUCAUGGUUCUGUAUAUUAACACAAAAUUUUCUUUUCUCAUAGGAGAGAUUAUUUCAUUCAAUAUUUUUUAUGAAUUAUUUACCAUUUGUACUUCAAUAGUAGCAGAAGACAAAAAAGGUAAUUGUAUGCUGAGGGAGGGUGGGCAGCAUGAAGCACUACAU
rnacentral:sRNA from 1 species